CCUACGGGUGGCAGCAGUGAGGAAUAUUGGUCAAUGGGCGCAAGCCUGAACCAGCCACGUCGCGUGAGGGAUGAAUGUCCUACGGAUUGUAAACCUCUUUUAUAAAGGAAUAAAGUGAGGCACGUGUACCUUUUUGUAUGUACUUUAUGAAUAAGGAUCGGCUAACUCCGUUCCAGCAGCCGCGGUAAUACGGAGGAGCCGAGCGUUAUCCGGAUUUAUUGGGUUUAAAGGGUGCGUAGGUGGGUUUUUAAGUCAGUGGUGAAAGUCUGGGGCUCAACCGUAAAAUUGAAGUUGAUACUGGGAGACUGGAGUAAAGUUGAGGGAGGCGGAAUGCGUGGUGUAGCAGUGAAAUGCUUAGAUAUCACGAAGAACACCGAUUGCGAAGGCAGGUUGCUAAGCUAUCACUGACGCUGAUGCACGAAAGCGUGGGGAGCAAACAGGAUUAGAUACCCCAGUAGUC
rnacentral:rRNA from 1 species